GUGCCAGCAGCCGCGGUAAUACAGAGGGUGCAAGCGUUGCUCGGAUUUACUGGGCGUAAAGCGUACGCAGACGGUGAGAAAGGUCGGAUGUGAAAGCCCCGGGCUCAACCCGGGAACUGCAUCCGAAACCAUCUCGCUCGAGUGUGGGAGAGGGAAGCGGAAUUCCUGGUGUAGAGGUGAAAUUCGUAGAUAUCAGGAGGAACACCGGCGGCGAAGGCGGCUUCCUGGCCCAUUACUGACGUUCAGGUACGAAAGCGUGGGUAGCAAACAGGAUUAGAUACCCUCGUAGUCC
rnacentral:rRNA from 1 species